GCCUUGUGCUGCUUGGGUCUUAGUCUAGCGACGUUGUCCCUCCUAAGGGGAAGGUCGCCCGUUCGAAUCGGGCCGGGGUCACCA
rnacentral:tRNA from 1 species